rnacentral:misc_RNA from 1 species
AGCAGCCGCGGUAAUUCCAGCUCCAAUAGCGUAUAUUAAAGUUGUUGCAGUUAAAAAGCUCGUAGUUGAAUUUCGGGACCAUCAUGUUGGUCGUGCCUCGGUACGUACUGGCAUUGUUGGUUUCUCCCUUCUGACGAACCAUGAUGUCAUUUAUUUGGUGUCGUGGGAAAUCAGGACUGUUACUUUGAAAAAAUUAGAGUGUUUAAAGCAGGCUCACGCUUGAAUACAUUAGCAUGGAAUAAUGAAAUAGGACGUUUGAUUCUAUUUUGUUGGUUUCUAGGAUCGACGUAAUGAUUAAUAGGGAUAGUUGGGGGCAUUAGUAUUCAAUUGUCAGAGGUGAAAUUCUUGGAUUUAUUGAAGACUAACUACUGCGAAAGCAUUUGCCAAGGAUGUUUUCAUUAAUCAAGAACGAAAGUUAGGGGGAUCGAAGACGAUCAGAUACCGUCGUAGUCUUAACCAUAAACUAUGCCGACUAGGGAUCGGAUGAUGUUAAUUUUUUAAUGACUCAUUCGGCGCCUUA